rnacentral:rRNA from 1 species
CCUACCGGGAGGCAGCAGUGGGGAAUAUUGCGCAAUGGGCGAAAGCCUGACGCAGCGACGCCGCGUGAGGGAUGAAGGUCUUCGGAUCGUAAACCUCUGUCAGCAGGGAAGAACGGUCACUGCGCUAAUCAGCAGUGAAUUGACUGUACCUGCAAAGGCAGCACCGGCUAACUCCGUGCCAGCAGCCGCGGUAAUACGGAGGGUGCGAUCGUUAAUCGGAAUUACUGGGCGUAAAGGGCUCGUAGGCGGGAUGUCAAGGCAAGGGUGAAAACCCCGCGCUCAACGUGGGAACUGCCUUUGAAACUGGCAAACUUGAGAGUGUGAGAGGAUAGUGGAAUUCCAGGUGUAGGAGUGAAAUCCGUAGAUAUCUGGAGGAACAUCAGUGGCGAAGGCGACUAUCUGGCACAUAACUGACGCUGAGGAGCGAAAGCGUGGGUAGCAAACAGGAUUAGAUACCCUUGUAGUC